AUGAACGCUGGCGGCGUGCCUAACACAUGCAAGUCGAACGGAGAUUACGGACGGAAGUUUUCGGAUGGAAGCCUGUAAUUCUUAGUGGCGGACGGGUGAGUAACGCGUGGGCAACCUGCCCUAUACAGGGGGAUAGCAGCUGGAAACGGCUGGUAAGACCGCAUAAGUCGGUUAAAUCGCAUGAUUUGAUCGGGAAAUGAGCAAUCAGGUAUAGGAUGGGCCCGCGUCCGAUUAGCCAGUUGGCAGGGUAAAAGCCUACCAAAGCGACGAUCGGUAGCCGGACUGAGAGGGCGGACGGCCACAGUGGGACUGAGACACGGCCCAAACUCCUACGGGAGGCAGCAGUGGGGGAUAUUGCACAAUGGAGGAAACUCUGAUGCAGCGACGCCGCGUGAGUGAAGAAGUAUUUCGGGAUGUAAAGCUCUAUCAGCAGGGAAGAUGAUGACGGUACCUGACGAAGAAGCCCCGGCUAACUACGUG
rnacentral:rRNA from 1 species